AAUCAUAGAAUCAUAGGGUUAGAAGGGACCACAAGGAUCAUCUAGUCUAAGCCCCUGCCAAAAUGCAAGGUUUGUUGGGUCUAAAUCAUCCAAGGCAGAUGGCUAUCCAAAAUAUAAUAUGUAUUA